CAGCAGCCGCGGGAAUACGAAGGGUGCAAGCGUUAAUCGGAAUUACUGGGCGUAAAGCGUGCGCAGGCGGUUUGUUAAGACAGAUGUGAAAUCCCCGGGCUCAACCUGGGAACUGCAUUUGUGACUGGCAAGCUAGAGUCUGGCAGAGGGGGGUGGAAUUCCGCGUGUAGCAGUGAAAUGCGUAGAUAUGCGGAGGAACACCGAUGGCGAAGGCGGCUUACUGGCUCAUACUGGACGCUGAGGUGCGAAAGCGUGGGGAGCAAACAGGAUUAGAUACCCCCGUAGUCCCUGUCUCUUAUAC
rnacentral:rRNA from 1 species